GACCCUGUCUCAAAAUGAAAAGGGCUGGGGAUGGAGCUCAGUGGUAGAGCGUCCCUGGGUUCACUCCCCAGUAACACAAAAAAUAUAAUGAGAGUGGAUCCUGCAGGCCAGCAGUAAUGACCUUGCCAAGGCCCUGCAGGCGACAGAGGUCGUGGACAGGGGGUAUGCUGGAAAUGUCCACAGGGUCAGACCACCCAUGGUGAGUCUGGAAAGCUGUGGCCCUUCAGAGUUCCCCCAUUGACCCUCCGGCCCACUGCGGUCCAGUCACAGGGUGCAGGCUGUUCAGGUGGCAGAGUUGGGUGACAGGCUAUUGGGCGGAGGCCCUUGAGAUAAGGGCUCCCAGCAGGUGGAAGAGCCACCUGGGGCUGGGGCCUGGCUCAGUCUCUACUGUGCAGGAGAGGGCGAAGCCCCUCUGAGGACCAGAGAGCCUUUACCUAGCCUGAGCUGGAGUCUAAAAACUGACUGGACCAGUGAGGGCCCCUGGGAGAGCACCAGGAGCGGGUUCUUCAGUGACCAGCGGAGCUCUCCCCAGAGAAGCCUGGGCCAUUGCAUCCCCACACUGUACACAUGUGAAAACAGAAACAGUGAAACAGGGCCCUGAUGGCUGGGUUUAAUUGUCUGUUUUAAGGGCCUCUUAAGAUCAGACCAACCAGUGCUUGCCUCUCGUGGAGCUUUGGGCUGUGUCCCUGGCCUGGACGAGGCGUGGGCCAGCAGGAGGCUGCCUGUCUGCCACUCUGGGCUUCGAGCACACUGGAGGCGGUCACCCUAUGGAGCAGCAGUCACCCUGUGGAGCAGCUCUUCCCCUGGCCUGUGCCUUCAUUUGGGGCUCCCUGGCUAUCCCUUAGUGACCCCACAGCUGUUGGCUCCAGCCCUUUCAGCCCCCCACAUCCUGUUGUGCAUAGUUGGGGAAGAAUACAGGGCUGACUCCAGAGCAGGUCGUCCACCCACACUGCCCCUCGGUGGGAAACAUGAAUAGAACAACCUGCUCGAGGUGCCCACCAUCUUGCAGUGAGGAAGGAUGAGGGUAGAUGGCAGGUGGGUGGCAGGUGUGCAGACUCACCAUAGGCCAAGGCCCAGGACGGGGUGGCACAGACUGCCCUCCUUUCAGAUGAGCAGUACUACCUUCCAGGUGUUGUGAGGGUCUGUUGAGCGCUGUGGGUGGCAUCAGUCCCCAAGAGACUGAUUGACCUAAGGAUGGGUGAAGUCACUGCCAUCUGCGCCCACUCUUGAGAGACCUGGGUGGACCGCACAAGCCAGGUGAAGCAGGCCUUUGAGGAUGGCCCACCAGGGCUGUGGGUGCAUUCUUCGGGCGAAGUCCUGAGGCAGGGGGAUGUCUGCAGAGCGUUUUCAUUUACUUUAGUUUCAGAGGUCAUUUUCACUUUUUUUUUGUUGUUGUUACACAUUUCYGUGCCUAUUCUUUUCACUGUUAUAAAAAAGCUUUUGGGAGAGAAAUUAAGGAGGCAUGUAUCACUUGGAGCGGCCACAACACCCCUGCAUUAGAAUGUCUUCAAGGAGACCAGGACCCUCCCCAAGGCCUCCAGGACUGACUCUGGCUGUGGCCACUCCUUUGGCAUUCUUCCUGGCUGCCCUGCAGAGCCCCAGCCUCCUGUAGCUCCCUCCCUGUCCCAUGCUCACACUGGCCCCUGUCUUGUGGAAGGGUCUGAGGAGCUUGGUGGUAUGUGGCCCUGGUCCUCCUGCCACCGUGGUGGAGCUGAGCAUAGCCAGGGAGCGUUGGAAACUUCCCAGCAGCAGCUGCCGCACAUCCUGGGUGGCUUGUCCCUGACUUGCCCCUUCAUGCCUUCCUUAUAUGAGUCUCUGUUCCUCCUCCACCUGCCAACCUCUGCUCACCCUUCAAGACCCCUCUGGAAGAUCCCUGCCUCUGCGAGGUUGCCUUCAGCCUCCCUGUCACCACCUCCCUGGCCCCCAGGCUCCCUGGGUUCCUCUUCUAUCCCAGGAGGUGAGCCAGGGAAGCUCCAGGAAACGCCCCCUGCCCUUACCUUGUGCCCUGCUGUUGUGACUUCACUCCUGGGAAGUUCUGGAAGCCACCUACUGAACUGAGUCCAUGACCUCCACCCCAGGACCUGACCACAGCUGGGCCCUCCCAGUGUGCCCUGUGCAGCUCAGCGGCCUGCCCGAAAGGCCCUCCAGCAGCUUAUCUUGCUGUGGAAAGGCUCCCAGAUCCUCCUGCCUCAGGCUCCCAAGUCACUGAGUUCUCCAGGGUCAUUUUCAAACUGACCCUCCUGGGGGAGGCGCAGUGUGGCUUCAAUCUCAAUGAUAAUCCCCCUCCACCCUACCCCGCUUCCAAGAAGUGUUGAGAGGCCCAAGAAAGGACAAUGUGAGGGACACGCUGUCUUCCUGGACAGCCACCCGUGCCUCUUCUGCAGCCUGUCCCGCUUGCCAUCAAGCGUGACCCUCAACACGUGCAGAGCUCCCUAGGAUGGGCCCUGCUAUGGCUGAUCUGUGAUGUCCCCCAGAAGCUCAUGAGAGACAGAGCCAGGACGCUGCAAGGUCAGAUGAUAGCCUGUGAGAGCCGUGGCUGCCUCAGUGGGUCAUCCCCUGGACUAGACUAGCUGGCCCAGAACAAUGGAUCCGGCCAGCCAUGGACUGAGCCUCUGAAACCACGAGCAAAAAUGAACUUUUCCUCCUCUAAGUUGUUCUACGACUUUUGGUCUCAACAAUGAAAGCUGACUAAGACCGCGAUCCACUAGUGUGACGAGCGGUUGUUAGUGUCUCAGUCUGAGGCACAGCUGGGUUCCAUCAGGUCUAUUUCAUUGAUGCUCAUCACACUUCAGACACACAUCCUGAUUGUGAGUCCUAACUGAGCUACCCAAGAGUCCCAGAUGCUCCCCUGACAUGGGUCCUAAGUCGGGGUCUCUGGACCUAGAUUCAAGCUGGAGGCGUCUGGUGGGGAGACAGCAGCGACAGAGACCUCCCUCUCUGUCCAGGUCCUGUUGGUCCCAUCGCCCCCCAGAGUCUGGGUUUUAAGUCCUAGUUCAGUUGUGCUUGCAGCAGUGCAGAUGCUGACAUCACUAUCUAGGUCUGCCUGGGCCGCAGUUGGCCUCGGUUCUGCCACUCACAUCACAUCAGGGGCACGUUGCUUAUGGUCUUUCCUCCACACACACUCGAAUUAAUACAACCAACAGUAACCCUGUGUAUCCCUGGCACUCAGGUCAACUAGGACCAGUGGUCAGGCACACCAGAGGGUGACCGCGUGAGGGCAACAAACCUCUCGCUUAGACCCCUCCCCUUCGAGGGGGGCUUCCUCACUGCUCCUGGCUGCCUUGUCCUGGGGCGGGUGGCCUGAGAAGGGAGCACACUGGCUGUGCGUGUACCAGGCACUUGUUGGUCUCUGUGUCACUGAACCCAAGGGCACUGGGUACCACAGCCGAUGGCUGCUCCUGUCCCCUUUUACAGGAGACCAAGGGACUAGUAACUUGCUCAAGGUCACAGGGUCGUGAGGGGCAGGACCUGUGCCAACGCUCUGUGCUUUGCUGGCCACAGCACAGGCCAGAGCUCUGCUCAGAGAGCCCUCUUGGUGACCAGGAGCUACACCCACAACAGCCCCCUGCUUCCUCAGGUGGAGGCCCGAGGCCAUGGGCCCCCUCCUCUGCACCCCACCUUUCCCUCCACGUGAUGGCUUACCUGUGCCCAGUCUUUCCAGUGGCCUGAGCUCCUCCCUGGGACAGAGACCUCCUGCUGCAGAGCAGCCCCACGUGUGCUUGGCUGUUGCUUAGAGUGCGGCCUUGUGCUGGGCAUUCAGAACGGAGGCUCCAGGGCCCUGGGGGGGCGGCAGGCCUGGCCAGAUCACAGACCAGCCCUGGCCCAGGGAACAUCCCUGGGAUCUAACCUAGGGCCACUCCUUCAUCUUCCCUGGGGCUGGGGUAAGGCUGGGGGUCGAGCAUUUGCCCAACAUGAGUGAGGCCCGGGCUCCUCCUCAGCACCAAAAGGGAAAACAGGGAAUCUAUGGCAGGAAGCCCUCUGCCAAGGCCGGGGCCGGGACAGACUCAGUGCUGCCCCUGGGAAGCCGAGAAACAGCAGGCCUCAGUCAGAGGCCCCGGAGGGCAGGGCUGCUCUGUCCCUUGUGGUCCUGGCCUCCCACAGGCAGCAGGACCCCCCUGGGCUGUUAGGUGACCCAGCUGUGAAGGGGUCCCAGGAGCUGGGGCUCCCUCUCCCGGGGCUGCCCGCGUCCCAGACCCAGGCCUGGGCUCUGAUGCCUCUGUGCUAAUUUCACAAAAGACUCGACUUGAACUCCUGACUGAGCAGCUUCACUUUGACAGGACUGAAGAUUUGUGACAAGGCUGAUCAUCACCCCAGAGCGUGGGUGAUGUGCAGCCUCCGGGGAACCGGCUAGCGGGUAUAUUUUAUGGCUUGCUUGGAAGACAAACGCAGGCAUUUAUGUGUCACUUGUUGCAGUAUAAAUGCUAACUUGUACUUCUUUCAAAACUUUUAAUGAAUUGUAUGCAUUCUGGAGGAUUUAUAGGAUGAGUGGGAUGGCCCAAAAUGUUACUUUCAACAUAUUUGUCACUUUGGAAACAGCACCAAAAAAAUCUGGAAGAUAUUGCACUCAGAAAUAAAUCAUAAAUGGAUGCAUCUGAAAA